AUCAAAGAGAAAAUUUUUUUAGCGUCCAAUGAUAACAGCGUUUAAGAAUUAGUUACUUAUAAAGACCGAAGCGAUCUUCCAGAUAAUGAAUAGCAAUACAUUAGAUGUGAACCUAUUAAUGUUGUUUAAAAGAUCUAGUAAGGGCAUUUUGAAAGGAAAUCAUGCUGAUGAAAAAAAAAUAUAUCUUUAUCUUCCUAACACUUCUUGCAAUGGCCAUAAGAGAAAGUACGUCUCUGCUGCUCAUACUUUUCAAGCAUGUUGAAUGCUUCAAAGUAAAUGAUUAUAGUAAUUUCCCAAAUAAAUAUAGUUAGGUGACUUACUGACUCCGCCUAACGCGUAAGUUGGAUUGUUGAAACAAUUAAGCUCUUGCUGUUACAACGGUAUAGCUUAAUACCCAAAUAAUUACUUAAAUGCUUUAAAUCAUCAUAAUACCAACAAACGUUCGUUUUUAUAAUCAGAGACAAGAAGAUUUUAAGAUUUGCAGGGAGGUAUACUCAUAUAUAAAUUCAUUGUAUUUUAGAGUACUAUCAAUUAUGUAUCUCAAAGAGUAUAUAGUAAUACAUGAAAUAAAAGUUUUUAAAGUUGAAUUAUAAUUUGAUGUUCUAUAAUUGGGGUGAAUGCACCCUAAUUGACAAUAGAGAAUUCUACGAAAAAAAUCAUGCAUCCAGGAUAGUCAUAUAGGAUUUUGGUUAAAAUUGGCAGCACAAUAUAGUUUUUGAUGCAAUUACAGUUAACAUGCAUAAUACUUGUUUUGAAAAAAAGUUAUGAAUAAAAGCUCAAUUGUAAGCACAUCACAAAGAACGAUUUUUAAUCGUAAUUGACGAUAUGUAAUUUUGGAUUUCAUAUAAAAUUGUAACUACUUAUUAAAUGAUCAUUAGGGGAAAUAGCGCACACUGUUUUAUAUCCUCUUCAAAUUUACAAAAUGAAAUUAAUCAAUUUUAGCAAUUUACCUAUUUUAUAUGAUUGAAUUGAAUUGAAAAAACCAUGAGUUGAUUAUGACGCUGAAAGAAAGACAUAUAAGAUCCUUAGGACACUACAACUCUUUCUACUUGAAUGCGAAAGUGGAUUGGUCUCACCAAAAGAUUACCGUACACAAGAACUUCGGUGCUCUAGCAAGUUUUCUUUCAACCAGGGCAAUUGCAAAACGAAGAAAUUCUAGUGGUACACCACACUGUUAAAAAAAAUUGACUAGCAUAUUAACAUUGUUAGAUUAUUCACUUUUUAAAUUUGGAAAUACGAAGCUUCAAACAUAAGCCAUAAUAAACACAGUGAAGGCUUUAGCAU